CCUUAGGGCAGGGCUGCUCUGCCGGCUGUUUUCAUAAUAACUAAGUUGCCUGACUGAGUUAGGACUGAGCAAGGAAGAGAGGGAGAGAAAAAACCAGCUGAAGUGGCCAGCUGAAAAAGACAGGAGAAAGCAGCAGAGGAAGAUGUUUUUGUAACCAAGCUCUCCCUUGGGGCUACUCACGUAAAAGUGUUUCCUUCAGUUCUGCAAAACGGCGUCUAUCUUUUUUGGACUGACGUUUCUGCUGAUUUCAAGAGCAGAACAGUGUCCGCACUGAAAUAACAGACUCCUUGGACAAGAUUGUUCGUUGCUGCAUGUUGACUCUGCAGCGUUGAAACCCAGGACACAUGAAAUCUGAAUCCAGCAGGUCUAGGAAUUGAGAAGGCUUUCAAAGAUGCAUGCCUCUCCUUUUUGCAAGGGGAGAAACUGUCAUCCUCUCCGAAAACAUCAAAUGAGAGAAGAGUGCCUAAGGAGAUGAGAAGACAAAAACAUCCUGACCAUGAAAAGAAAUCAGAUAAAGACCUCGAUAGAAUAGAAUAGAAUCUAUUUGGACUUGGAUUGAUAUAGGAAUGAGA
rnacentral:lncRNA from 1 species